rnacentral:rRNA from 1 species
GACGAACGCUGGCGGCGUGCUUAACACAUGCAAGUCGAACGGAAAGGCCCUGCUUUUGUGGGGUGCUCGAGUGGCGAACGGGUGAGUAACACGUGAGUAACCUGCCCUUGACUUUGGGAUAACUUCAGGAAACUGGGGCUAAUACCGGAUAGGAGCUCCUGCUGCAUGGUGGGGGUUGGAAAGUUUCGGCGGUUGGGGAUGGACUCGCGGCUUAUCAGCUUGUUGGUGGGGUAGUGGCUUACCAAGGCUUUGACGGGUAGCCGGCCUGAGAGGGUGACCGGCCACAUUGGGACUGCGAUACGGCCCAGACUCCUACGGGAGGCAGCAGUGGGGAAUAUUGCACAAUGGGCGGAAGCCUGAUGCAGCAGCGCCGCGUGCGGGAUGACGGCCUUCGGGUUGUAAACCGCUUUCGCCUGUGACGAAGCGUGAGUGACGGUAAUGGGUAAAGAAGCACCGGCUAACUACGUG